rnacentral:tRNA from 1 species
GGGGAUGUAGCUCAGUGGUAAAGUGCUUACCUAGCAAGCACGAGGUCCCUGGGUUCAAUCUCCAGCGCCACA